GAAGUUAUGCUUCGCAAAUAAAUUUCUGGAAGAUAUCCUGAUCCUGAAAAGGAUAAGAAAAAGGCGACUCAAAGUAAGUCGCCUUUUUUGUGUCU
rfam:Citrobacter koseri ATCC BAA-895, complete genome.